rnacentral:rRNA from 1 species
AUGAACGCUAGCGGCAGGCUUAAUACAUGCAAGUUGAGGGGCAGCAUGAUAUACGCAAGUAUAUUGAUGGCGACCGGCGGACGGGUGAAGUAAAAGGUAGGAGACCUACCUCAUACGAGGGGGAUAGCAUAGAGAAAUCUGUGGUAAUACCCCAUGAGGUUAUAUGAAUAGAGGCAUAUAAUCAAAGUAUACGAGAGUAUGGCGGUAUGAGAUGGGCCUACUGACCAUUAGCUAGUUGGUGAGGUAAGGGCUCACCAAGGCGAAGAUGGUUAGGGGUUUUGAGAGAGAGAUCCCCCACAUUGGAACUGAGAUACGGUCCAGACUCCUACGGGAGGCAGCAGUAGGGAAUAUUGGGCAAUGGGCGAAAGCCUGACCCAGCCAUGCCGCGUGAAGGAAGACGGCCUUAUGGGUUGUAAACUUCUUUACUACGCGAAUAGAGGUUAGUACGAGAUACUAAUAGGAAGGUAGUGUAGUAAAAAGCACCGGCUAACUCCGUG